AGAGGGAAAGAGCUUGCUCUUUUCAGAAUUGAGUGGCAAACGGGUGAGUAACACGUAAACAACCUGCCUUCAGGAUGGGGACAACAGACGGAAACGACUGCUAAUACCGAAUAAGUUCCAAGAGCCGCAUGGCCCAUGGAAGAAAAGGUGGCCUCUACCUGUAAGCUAUCGCCUGAAGAGGGGUUUGCGUCUGAUUAGCUGGUUGGAGGGGUAACGGCCCACCAAGGCGACGAUCAGUAGCCGGUCUGAGAGGAUGAACGGCCACACUGGAACUGAGACACGGUCCAGACUCCUACGGGAGGCAGCAGUGGGGAAUCUUCCGCAAUGGGCGAAAGCCUGACGGAGCAACGCCGCGUGAGUGAUGACGGCCUUCGGGUUGUAAAACUCUGUGAUCCGGGACGAAAAGGCAGAGUGCGAAGAACAAACUGCAUUGACGGUACCGGAAAAGCAAGCCACGGCUAACUACGUGCCAGCAGCCGCGGUAAUACGUAGGUGGCAAGCGUUGUCCGGAAUUAUUGGGCGUAAAGCGCGCGCAGGCGGCUUCCCAAGUCCCUCUUAAAAGUGCGGGGCUUAACCCCGUGAUGGGAAGGAAACUGGGAAGCUGGAGUAUCGGAGAGGAAAGUGGAAUUCCUAGUGUAGCGGUGAAAUGCGUAGAGAUUAGGAAGAACACCGGUGGCGAAGGCGAC
rnacentral:rRNA from 1 species